rnacentral:lncRNA from 1 species
UGAGUUGUUGUUGUCGUAAGGUUCUGCUCCUGCUUUAUAAGGUGUUGGAGAGAGGAAAGAGAGGUGGGAAAGGGAGAAUUGCUUUGUUCCUUGUGUUGAUUUUCUUAUCUUUUGAUGAGAGAGGAUGGAGUUAUAGAGAGGAUGGAAAGGGAGAAUUGCUUUGUUGCUUGUGUUGAUUUUCUUAUCUGUUGGUGUGGUCUUUUUUUUUUUUUGGUACCAUUACUUUGACUCCUCCAAUUUGGCAUUGGAAACUUUUUUAAGGGUAAAUUACAUUAAACCCCCUUCAACUAUAAAUUCAG